rnacentral:lncRNA from 1 species
GUUAUCGUAGUUAAUCCUGCACAUACAAGCAAAAACUCUACUUCGAUCUAGACAAUUAUUACAACGCGAAUUGACAUUCUGUUGCCCGGCACGUCAUUGGUUGGCGCUUCGUCCGAUUCUUCAGCGCAUCGUCCUCUCUUGCGGCUUGUUGCCCAAUCGGCGGUUGACCUCUGCAACCCCGAUAUCCUUGGUGCAAUUCCGCUCUCCUUGGCCCGAUGCCCGAC